GCGGAGGAAAAGAAACCAACAGGGAUUGCCUCAGUAACGGCGAGUGAAGCGGCAACAGCUCAAAUUUGAAAUCUGGCUCCUUCGGGGCCCGAGUUGUAAUUUGCAGAGGAUGCGUCGGGUACGGGUUCCCUCCGAGUUCCCUGGAACGGGACGCCAUAGAGGGUGAGAGCCCCGUCUGGUAGGACACCCAGCCCGUGUGACGCUCCCUCGACGAGUCGAGUAGUUUGGGAAUGCUGCUCUAACGGGAGGUAUACUCCUUCCAAGGCUAAAUACCGGCUGGAGACCGAUAGCGCACAAGUAGAGUGAUCGAAAGAUGAAAAGCACUUUGAAAAGAGAGUCAAACAGCACGUGAAAUUGUUAAAAGGGAAGCGCUCGCUACCAGACUUGGGUUCGGCGGUUCAACCGGGGCCAUGCCCCGGGGCACUCCGCCGGCCCAGGCCAGCAUCAGCUUUCCGUCGGGGGCAAAGGCGUCGGGAAUGUGGCUCACCUUCGGGUGAGUGUUAUAGCCCGGCGCGUCAUACCCUUCGGGGGGCUGAGGUACGCGCUUCUGCAAGGAUGCUGGCGUAAUGGUAGCUAGUGACCCGUCUUGAAACACGGACCAAGGAGUCAACCUUAUGUGCGAGUGCCCGGGCGUAAAACCCCAGCGCGGAAUGAAAGUGAACGUAGGUGAGAGCUUCGGCGCAUCACCGACCGAUCCUGAUGUCCUCGGACGGAUUUGAGUGAGAGCAUAUAGGGUUGGACCCGAAAGAAGAUGAACUAUGCGUGUGUAGGGUGAAGCCAGAGGAAACUCUGGUGGAGGCUCGCAGCGGUUCUGACGUGCAAAUCGA
rnacentral:misc_RNA from 1 species